UACGUAGGGUGCAAGCGUUUUCCGGAAUUAUUGGGCGUAAAGGGCUCGUAGGCGGUCUGUCGCGUCUGCUGUGAAAACUCAGGGCUUAACCCUGAGCUUGCAGUGGGUACGGGCAGACUAGAGUGCGGUAGGGGAGACUGGAAUUCCUGGUGUAGCGGUGAAAUGCGCAGAUAUCAGGAGGAACACCGGUGGCGAAGGCGGGUCUCUGGGCCGUAACUGACGCUGAGGAGCGAAAGCAUGGGGAGCGAACAGG
rnacentral:rRNA from 1 species